GUAGGUAGUGCAGCGGUUCAGCACGUGCUCCCAAAAAGGGUGAGAUCUGGGUUUGAAUCCCAGAUGACGUAGACA